rnacentral:rRNA from 1 species
GACAGAGGCCUCAAGCGUUAGGCGGAAUCACUGGGCUUAAAGCGUGUGUAGGCGGAUCGUUAAGUGUCUUGUGAAAUCCCACGGCUCACCCGUGGAACUGCUGGGCAUACUGGCGAUCUUGGGCCAACUAGGGGCAACUGGAACAAGCGGUGGAGCGGUGAAAUGCGUAGAUAUCGGGAGGAACACCUGUGGCGAAAGCGGCGCACUGGACCACAACUGACGCUGAGGCGCGAAAGCUAGGGGAGCAAACAGG